GAUGAACGCUGGCGGCGUGCCUAAUACAUGCAAGUCGAGCGAACAGACGAGGAGCUUGCUCCUCUGACGUUAGCGGCGGACGGGUGAGUAACACGUGGAUAACCUACCUAUAAGACUGGGAUAACUUCGGGAAACCGGAGCUAAUACCGGAUAAUAUAUUGAACCGCAUGGUUCAAUAGUGAAAGACGGUUUUGCUGUCACUUAUAGAUGGAUCCGCGCCGCAUUAGCUAGUUGGUAAGGUAACGGCUUACCAAGGCAACGAUGCGUAGCCGACCUGAGAGGGUGAUCGGCCACACUGGAACUGAGACACGGUCCAGACUCCUACGGGAGGCAGCAGUAGGGAAUCUUCCGCAAUGGGCGAAAGCUUGACGGAGCAACGCCGAGUGAGUGAUGAAGGUCUUCGGAUCGUAAAACUCUGUUAUUAGGGAAGAACAAAUGUGUAAGUAACUAUGCACGUCUUGACGGUACCUAAUCAGAAAGCCACGGCUAACUACGU
rnacentral:rRNA from 1 species